rnacentral:rRNA from 1 species
GAACACGGAGCUUGCUCUGUGGGAUCAGUGGCGAACGGGUGAGUAACACGUGAGCAACCUGCCCCUGACUCUGGGAUAAGCGCUGGAAACGGCGUCUAAUACUGGAUAUGUGACGUGACCGCAUGGUCUGCGUUUGGAAAGAUUUUUCGGUUGGGGAUGGGCUCGCGGCCUAUCAGCUUGUUGGUGAGGUAAUGGCUCACCAAGGCGUCGACGGGUAGCCGGCCUGAGAGGGUGACCGGCCACACUGGGACUGAGACACGGCCCAGACUCCUACGGGAGGCAGCAGUGGGGAAUAUUGCACAAUGGGCGAAAGCCUGAUGCAGCAACGCCGCGUGAGGGAUGACGGCCUUCGGGUUGUAAACCUCUUUUAGCAGGGAAGAAGCGAAAGUGACGGUACCUGCAGAAAAAGCGCCGGCUAACUACGUGCCAGCAGCCGCGGUAAUACGUAGGGCGCAAGCGUUAUCCGGAAUUAUUGGGCGUAAAGAGCUCGUAGGCGGUUUGUCGCGUCUGCUGUGAAAUCCCGAGGCUCAACCUCGGGCCUGCAGUGGGUACGGGCAGACUAGAGUGCGGUAGGGGAGAUUGGAAUUCCUGGUGUAGCGGUGGAAUGCGCAGAUAUCAGGAGGAACACCGAUGGCGAAGGCAGAUCUCUGGGCCGUAACUGACGCUGAGGAGCGAAAGGGUGGGGAGCAAACAGGCUUAGAUACCCUGGUAGUCCACCCCGUAAACGUUGGGAACUAGUUGUGGGGUCCAUUCCACGGAUUCCGUGACGCAGCUAACGCAUUAAGUUCCCCGCCUGGGGAGUACGGCCGCAAGGCUAAAACUCAAAGGAAUUGACGGGGACCCGCACAAGCGGCGGAGCAUGCGGAUUAAUUCGAUGCAACGCGAAGAACCUUACCAAGGCUUGACAUAUACGAGAACGGGCCAGAAAUGGUCAACUCUUUGGACACUCGUAAACAGGUGGUGCAUGGUUGUCGUCAGCUCGUGUCGUGAGAUGUUGGGUUAAGUCUCGCAACGAGCGCAACCCUCGUUCUAUGUUGCCAGCACGUAAUGGUGGGAACUCAUGGGAUACUGCCCG